GAUGAACGCUAGCGAUAGGCUUAACACAUGCAAGUCGAGGGGCGGCAUAAGAAUAGCAAUAUUCUGGUGGCGACCGGCGCACGGGUGAGUAACACGUAUGCAACCUGCCCAUAACUGCGGAAUAACUCGUCGAAAGGCGGACUAAUACCGCAUAACAACGUAAACUCGCAUGAGUAGAAGUUUAAAGAUUAAUCGGUUAUGGAUGGGCAUGCGUUCCAUUAGGCAGGUGGUGAGGUAACGGCUCACCAAACCGACGAUGGAUAGGGGUUCUGAGAGGAAGGUCCCCCACAUUGGUACUGAGACACGGACCAAACUCAUACGGGAGGCAGCAGUGAGGAAUAUUGGUCAAUGGGCGAGAGCCUGAACCAGCCAAAUCGCGUGAAGGAUGAAGGUAUUAUGUAUUGUAAACUUCUUUUAUCGGGGAAUAAAGUGCGGGACGAGUCCCGUUUUGUAUGUACCCGAAGAAUAAGGAUCGGCUAACUCCGUGCCAGCCGCCGCCGUAAGAC
rnacentral:rRNA from 1 species